UGGGGAUUAGCCAAGCGGUAAGGCAACGGACUUUGACUCCGUCAUCCAUAGGUUCGAAUCCUAUAUCCCCAGCCA
rnacentral:tRNA from 7 species